UGUUAUUUCCCAGAUAGCAAGCAUAGUCGGCCCGAUUCUGGCUGAGUGCUGGCAGUGUCGGCUGAGGUCCGAGUCGGCUGAAGCACAGUAAACACAGUCGGCCCGAUCCUGGCUGAGUGCUGCCACUGUCGGCGGAGUUUCAGGUCGGCUGAGGCACUGUCCCCUUGAAUGGGCCGACACUGACACGCAGUAGUUGGGCUGAUUACUGAGUGUCUUAUUUGGCCCGAUUGGGGUUUGAUGGGCUACUGCCAGUUUUCGAAUCAAUCUCGGCAGACGGAUUUCAUACAGUGUGUGGCCCGAUACUUCAGAAACGAACACUGAUCAGUAUCGAGGCUGUUGGCGGCAAAAAUGAAACAUUUAGCGACAGCCGGACGCUAAACGUACAUGGCCCAAUUUUGUAAAGUGACUGUCGGCCCAUUACAUGUGGAAGAGCCACGAGCAGAGCAACUGUUCAGUUUGAAACCAGCAGGACGGCGCGAAACUGUCUCGUUUUGGACACUGCCUGUGGCCUACACCUCAGAAUCCAGGCCACACAGAGACCUGCCUGCACUGAAGGCUACCCGUGUAUACAUGUGUGAACCAUUUCUUGUGUUGGAAAAACAGGAGACCUGAAGAGCUCUUGAUGCUUUUGGUUUGCCUCAUCCAUUUUGUCAGCAAAGAACAGGAGUGGGCAGGAAACAUGCGCUGUUGAAAACAUGGCCAACCAACUGGAGCACCCACAAGGCUCUUGUGAAGGAAGUCCACAAGUGCUUCAGGAUGGAUGGAAAGAACUCUUUGAUCAACCCCCACAGAGAGCUGAGGUGGCUAUCUUUUGGAGACACCCCCGGCUGCUAGUGCUGCUGAAACUGGUGGAGGCAACAAUGAAGCGGCAACAGAAGGAGAAGGCAGGUGGCAAAGGUUGCUGCUAUUGAAAAAUACUUUGAGAGUGAGUGUGUGUGCAUGUAUGUAGCUGGGUAGGUCAUGGUACAAAAAUACAGAAUUUAAAGCACUUAACACUUAACUCACAUCCCACUACUGACAAUGGAAUUACUCUUUUAGAGUGAGUGAGUGAGGGAGAGAGAUAGAAUAUUUCUGUAAAUGUUUAAUGUUAAUUUAGAAUCAUUUAUUUCUUUGAAUCAUUAUACAGUUUUAAAAUGUUUAAUUGUUUGUUUUUGUAUAUGAAAGAAGUCGAUUGUUGUAGAUAAAAGUAGAUUGUAUAUUUUAACUUGUUUAAUUUCUAAAGUGUAUAUAUGUAAAAGCUUGUAUAAUUUUUAAAUGUUUGUUUUAUUUGCAAGGUUGUGUUUGUCAAACUUGUUAAUAAAAGUAGCUUGUGCUUUUAAUUACUAGUUCUGGAUUUGUGUUUAUUUUCAAGUACUUUUGGUAGUUAAUGGGCCACAUGUGGCCCGGGGACCCAGCCGACAUUCAGCCAACACUCAGUCAGAUCAGUUUUAUAGUGCGUGGGCCAGUACAGGCCCAGAGGCCCAGCCGACACUCAGC